AAUGAACGCUGGCGGCAGGCCUAAAACAUGCAAGUCGAACGCCCUAGCAAUAGGGAGUGGCGCACGGGUGAGUAACACGUGGGAAUAUGCCUUUUGGUACGGAACAACGUCUGGAAACGGACGCUAAUGCCGUAUGGUCCCUUCGGGGUAAAGAUUUAUCGCCAAAAGAUUAGCCCGCGUCUGAUUAGCUAGUUGGUGAGGUAAUGGCUCACCAAGGCGACGAUCAGUAACUGGUCUGAGAGGACGAUCAGCCACACUGGGACUGAGACACGGCCCAGACUCCUACGGGAGGCAGCAGUUAGGAAUAUUGGACAAUGGACGCAAGUCUGAUCCAGCCAUGCCGCGUGAGUGAUGAAGACCUUCGGGUUGUAAAGCUCUUUAGUCCACGAUUAUAAUGACUGUAGUGGAAGAAUAAGCCCCGGCUAACUUCGUGCCAGCCGCCGCGGUAACAC
rnacentral:rRNA from 1 species